rnacentral:rRNA from 1 species
UACGUAGGGGGCAAGCGUUACCCGGAUUUACUGGGCGUAAAGCGCGUGUAGGCUGCUGGCCAAGCGUGGUUUGAAAUCUUCGGGCUUAACCCGAAAACUGCAUUGCGAACUGGUCUGGCUAGAGUGUGUGAGAGGGUAGUGGAAUUCCCGGUGUAGCGGUGAAAUGCGUAGAUAUCGUGAGGAACACCAGAGGCGAAGGCGACCACCUGGACAAUUGCUGACACUCAGGCACGAAAGCAUGGGAAGCAAAAGGG